rnacentral:rRNA from 1 species
UACGAAGGGGGCUAGCGUUGCUCGGAAUCACUGGGCGUAAAGCGCACGUAGGCGGAUUGUUAAGUCAGGGGUGAAAUCCUGGAGCUCAACUCCAGAACUGCCUUUGAUACUGGCGAUCUUGAGUCCGGGAGAGGUGAGUGGAACUGCGAGUGUAGAGGUGAAAUUCGUAGAUAUUCGCAAGAACACCAGUGGCGAAAGCGGCUUCCUGGUCCAGCACCGACGUUCAGGCACGAAAGCGUGGGGAGCAAACAGG